UAAGGAAUAUUGGUCAAUGGACGCAAGUCUGAACCAGCCAUGCCGCGUGCAGGAAGACGGCCCUACGGGUUGUAAACUGCUUUUGUACCGGAAUAAACCUUUUCACGUGUGAGAAGCUGAAUGUACGGUAAGAAUAAGGAUCGGCUAACUCCGUGCCAGCAGCCGCGGUAAUACGGAGGAUCCAAGCGUUAUCCGGAUUUAUUGGGUUUAAAGGGUGCGUAGGUGGCCUAUUAAGUCAGGGGUGAAAGACGGUAGCUUAACUAUCGCAGUGCCUUUGAUACUGAUGGGCUUGAAUACACUUGAGGUAGGCGGAAUGUGACAAGUAGCGGUGAAAUGCAUAGAUAUGUCACAGAACACCAAUUGCGAAGGCAGCUUACUAAAGUGUUAUUGACACUGAGGCACGAAGCGUGGGGAUCAAACAGGAUUAGAUACCCUGGUAGUCCACGCCCUAAACGAUGAAUACUCGAUGUUGGCGAUAUACGGUCAGCGUCUAAGCGAAAGCGUUAAGUAUUCCACCU
rnacentral:rRNA from 1 species